rnacentral:rRNA from 1 species
CCUACGGGUGGCUGCAGUGGGGGAUAUUGCACAAUGGGGGAAACCCUGAUGCAGCGACGCCGCGUGAGUGAAGAAGUAUUUCGGUAUGUAAAGCUCUAUCAGCAGGGAAGAAAAUGACAGUACCUGACUAAGAAUCCCCGGCUAACUACGUGCCAGCAGCCGCGGUAAUACGGAGGGGGCAAGCGUUAUCCGGAUUUACUGGGUGUAAUGGGAGCGUAGUCGGUUGUGUAAGUCAGGAGUGAAAGCCCUGGGCCCAACCCCGGGACUGCUUUGGAAACUGUGUAACUGGAGUACAGGAGGGGCAGGCGGAAUUCAUGGUGUAGCGGUGAAAUGCGUAGAUAUCAGGAGGAACACCGGCGGCGAAGGCGGCCUGCUAGACUGAAACUGACGUUGAGGCACGAAAGCGUGGGGAGCAAACAGGAUUAGAUACCCCAGUAGUC